AGAUACCAGCUGGCUGCAACUGUUUAUUAAAAACACAGCACUGUGCAAACACGAAAGUGGACGUAUACGGUGUGACGCCUGCCCGGUGCCGGAAGGUUAAUUGAUGGGGUUAUCCCUCGGGAGAAGCUCUUGAUCGAAGCCCCGGUAAACGGCGGCCGUAACUAUAACGGUCCUAAGGUAGCGAAAUUCCUUGUCGGGUAAGUUCCGACCUGCACGAAUGGCGUAAUGAUGGCCAGGCUGUCUCCACCCGAGACUCAGUGAAAUUGAACUCGCUGUGAAGAUGCAGUGUACCCGCGGCAAGACGGAAAGACCCCGUGAACCUUUACUAUAGCUUGACACUGAACACUGGUCCUUGAUGUGUAGGAUAGGUGGGAGGCUUUGAAGUGUGGACGCCAGUCUGCAUGGAGCCGCCCUUGAAAUACCACCCUUUAAUGGCUGGUGUUCUAACGUGGGCCCGUAAUCCGGGUUGCGGACAGUGUCUGGUGGGUAGUUUGACUGGGGCGGUCUCCUCCUAAAGAGUAACGGAGGAGCACGAAGGUCAGCUAAUCCUGGUCGGACAUCAGGAGGUUAGUGCAAUGGCAUAAGCUGGCUUGACUGCGAGCGUGACGGCGCGAGCAGGUGCGAAAGCAGGUCAUAGUGAUCCGGUGGUUCUGAAUGGAAGGGCCAUCGCUCAACGGAUAAAAGGUACUCCGGGGAUAACAGGCUGAUACCGCCCAAGAGUUCAUAUCGACGGCGGUGUUUGGCACCUCGAUGUCGGCUCAUCACAUCCUGGGGCUGAAGUAGGUCCCAAGGGUAUGGCUGUUCGCCAUUUAAAGUGGUACGCGAGCUGGGUUUAGAACGUCGUGAGACAGUUCGGUCCCUAUCUGCCGUGGGCGCUGGAGAACUGAGGGGGGCUGCUCCUAGUACGAGAGGACCGGAGUGGACGCAUCACUGGUGUUCGGGUUGUCAUGCCAAUGGCACUGCCCGGUAGCUAAAUGCGGAAGAGAUAAGUGCUGAAAGCAUCUAAGCACGAAACUUGCCCCGAGAUGAGUUCUCCCUGACUCCUUGAGAGUCCUGAAGGAACGUUGAAGACGACGACGUUGAUAGGCCGGGUGUGUAAGCGCAGCGAUGCGUUGAGCUAACCGGUACUAAUGAACCGUGAGG
rnacentral:rRNA from 1 species